CGCAGGCUGCAACCCGCCUGCGUGAAGUUGGAAUCGCUAGUAAUCGCGGAUCAGCAUGCCGCGGUGAAUACGUUCCCGGGCCUUGUACACACCGCCCGUCACACCAUGAGAGUCGGGAACACCCGAAGUCCGUAGCCUAACCGCAAGGGGGGCGCGGCCGAAGGUGGGUUCGAUAAUUGGGGUGAAGUCGUAACAAGGUAGC
rnacentral:rRNA from 1 species